GCCGACUUAGCUCAGUGGUAGAGCAACUCCAUGGUAAGGAGUAGGUCGUGGGUCCAAUUCCCACAGUCGGCUCCA
rnacentral:tRNA from 1 species